CAGUAGCCGCGGUAAUACGAAGGGUGCAAGCGUUACUCGGAAUUACUGGGCGUAAAGCGUGCGUAGGUGGUUGUUUAAGUCUGCUGUGAAAGCCCUGGGCUCAACCUGGGAAUUGCAGUGGAUACUGGCGACUAGAGUAAGGUAGAGGAUAGUGGAAUUUCCAGUGUAGCAGUGAAAUGCGUAGAGAUCGGAAGGAACAUCUGUGGCGAAGGCGACUAUCUGGGCCAUUACUGACACUGAGGCACGAAAGCGUGGGGAGCAAACAGGAUUAGAUACCCCCGUAGUCCCUGUCUCUUAUACA
rnacentral:rRNA from 1 species